UACGAAGGGGGCUAGCGUUGCUCGGAUUGACUGGGCGUAAAGGGCGCGUAGGCGGUUUGCACAGUUGGGCGUGAAAUUCCUGGGCUUAACCUGGGGGCUGCGUUCAAUACGUGUAGGCUUGAGUUCGGAAGAGGGUCGUGGAAUUCCCAGUGUAGAGGUGAAAUUCGUAGAUAUUGGGAAGAACACCGGUGGCGAAGGCGGCGACCUGGUCCGAUACUGACGCUGAGGCGCGAAAGCGUGGGGAGCAAACAGGAUUAGAUACCCUGGUAGUCCACGCUGUAAACGAUGUGCGCUGGAUGUUGGGUGACAUAGUCAUUCAGUGUCGUAGCUAACGCGAUAAGCGCACCGCCUGGGGAGUACGGCCGCAAGGUUGAA
rnacentral:rRNA from 1 species